CUCGUAGCAUCAAGGAACAAUUGAAUUCCAGCACCGUGUUGCAGCACUGUAAUGCUAUUAGUAGCAAAAAGAGGGAGUAUAGUAAUUCUCUUGCCACACAACGGGGAACUGAAACAAAAUGAAGAGCCACCACAACUUCAGCCACCUCUCCUCUCUGACCAGAUCGGCACACUGUCACCAUAAUCCACGUGGCCUCACUACAGCAAUUGCAUGCACCUACCAUUUUGAACAACCAUAGACUCUACCUAAUGCAGAGUUCUCUAACUGUACACAAUGCCAACCUCUGACAGCUCAUUCCCCGUUGAUCUUCAGUGGCUGGAACAAAAUCGAUAUCAACUCAAUCCACUAAAAGAAAAAAACAACACAGAAAUUGACCACUAUGGCUGCAUUGAUGAGCUCCGCAAUGCACCUUCAGCCGCCAUGCUGUUGUAGUGGAAACACAAAACGGCUCCAGCUGCCCCGCUUGGGCAUGCCGAAUCGACAACAGAACACAGACAAAAGUCAAACCGGAGGAAAAAACAGGGAAAAUAAGAGGGUGAAGAAGUGCUUCACCAUAGCACUCCAACAGAGCACAAAACAUAAAAGGAAGAGGAAA
rnacentral:lncRNA from 1 species